UACGUAGGGCGCAAGCGUUAUCCGGAAUUAUUGGGCGUAAAGAGCUCGUAGGCGGUUUGUCGCGUCUGCCGUGAAAGUCCGGGGCUCAACUCCGGAUCUGCGGUGGGUACGGGCAGACUAGAGUGAUGUAGGGGAGACUGGAAUUCCUGGUGUAGCGGUGAAAUGCGCAGAUAUCAGGAGGAACACCGAUGGCGAAGGCAGGUCUCUGGGCAUUAACUGACGCUGAGACGCGAAGGCCAGGGUAGCGAACGGG
rnacentral:rRNA from 1 species